rnacentral:ncRNA from 1 species
CUGACCAGGACGCAUGGGUCGACGUUCGUGCAACGAGCCCCUCUCCUUACAACCUGACGGUAGUAAGGAGAUGCGACAAAAGUCAG